rnacentral:snRNA from 1 species
CGCUGUGCUAUCGCUCCUGCAACAUCUGUCACCCCAUUGAUUGCCAGGGUUGAUUCGGCUGAUCUGGCUGGCUAGGCAGGUGUCCCCUUCCUCCCUCACUGCUCCAUGUGUGUCCCUCUCGAAGCUGCGCGCUCAGUCAAAGAGGACGGACUUCCCCGAAUAGAGACGGACUGGUCUUCGGUCGAGGGUAUACGAGUAGCUGCACUCCCCUGCUAGAACCUCCAAACAAGCUCUCAAAAUAAAUGUGAACAUAAGAAACUGAACAAGCCUAAUAUGAAAGAACACAUCCUCUGAAGCUGCACUAGAGGCCUCACAAA